AGACCGACCUCCGGAAGCAGGAGCGCGGGCGCUGGGCGAGAGGAAGUGGGGCCGCGCGGAUGGCAAAAUCCUCAGCUCUGGGGUCAAGUUCAGUAAGGCCGGGUCCUCCAUCGCGUGCUGCUAAAAUCGCUACCUCAAUUUCGAUUCCUCCUCCUGUCUUCGGGUACAGGUGCUAACGGAGAAUCAGAUGGCCCAGAGAAUGUUGGCGGGGGUGCAGUUUUCAGCGGGGUGUUUGGAGAUGGCGCCGCAGCGAAGAAGGGACUGAAGACGGGAGAGCAAGUCAAGCGGCGUCUGAGGGGAAGCACUGCUGCCUUCCAGACACUGAGAUGUUCUUCCUUGUAGGGGCCAGUUCUUCCACGAUUCGCAGGCACCUUAUCAGGCAGAAUUAGUACUAUUUCUACGCACAUCGGCAAUGAUAUCCUCUACUGAAGCUUGAACCCCUCAAAAAUCAUCCAUGAGGGUUGGACUCAACUUCCUCCAGACUCCUGUGAAUAUUGAUACUCCUCCCAUGAAUCAUGAAUGUUAUUAAUGGCAUCUGUAGUUAUGAAUCCUUUCCAGAGGUUUUCAAUUGACUUUGCUCAGAUCCAUCAGAGGAAUCACUAUCUUUGGCACCUGCAGCCCCUGGAAAUAUGUUUCUUAAAUAAUAAGGCUUUAAACUCAAAA